rnacentral:piRNA from 1 species
UCCAGAACCUCUGAAUAUAAGGGUCUCG